GACUCUGUGGCGCAGCGGUAGCGCGUCUGACUUAAUAUCAGAAGAUUAUGUGUUCAAAUCACAUCAGGGUCA